rnacentral:rRNA from 1 species
UAAACGACUCUCGGCAACGGAUAUCUCGGCUCUCGCAUCGAUAAAGAACGUAGCGAAAUGCGAUACUUGGUGUGAAUUGCAGAAUCCCGUGAACCAUCGAGUCUUUGAACGCAAGUUGCGCCCGAAGCCAUUAGGCCGAGGGCACGCCUGCCUGGGCGUCACAC